GUCCCAGUAGCUCAGCUGGAUAGAGCGGCUGCCUUCUAAGCAGCGGGCCGUGGGUUCGAAUCCCGCCUGGGACG
rfam:Dehalogenimonas alkenigignens strain IP3-3 genomic scaffold scaffold00001, whole genome shotgun sequence.